GUACACGUGUGUAGUGUGAAGAAUGGAGUGUGUGUGCAUAUGAGGAGAGAGAGUAGGCAACUCUUUUUUUUAUUAUUAUUAUUACUUGCUGGAACUAUGGUUAUGCUGGAGGGAAAUUGAGAGCAAGAAAAAAAAAGAGUCUUCACAUUGUUUUGGGCAACCCGUGAGAGUGAGAAAGAGAGAGCGAGAGUUCAAAGCUUGGAACUCUAGUGCUGGAAAUGGUGAAGAAAGGCUACGGAAAAGCUUGGGAAAGCGAAGGAUUGAAGAGGAGUUCAAGAUAUUGUCAAGGAUUCAUUAAUUGAAGAUUUUAGGUGAACAGGCGCGUAACCAGGCUUAGAUGCAUCUGUCUGGAAUCUGUUUUUGUCAGCCAACCUAUGUGCCUCCCGUGGAGGUCCCGAAUAUGUCAAGUGGCUAUGGCUAUGUGAUGCAAAGUUUAGGUUUUGUUUCCUUGAUUGGUUAGACAAGUCUUGUGUAUUUUGUAAAUAGGGCUAAGUCCAUUUUUGUCUAAUCUGUGUAUAUAUAUAAUGACGUAAGAAUGAUGUGUAUAUAUGUAUAUAAAGUUUUAAGAUUUUUCUGUC